AGUGGGGAAUCUUGCGCAAUGGGCGAAAGCCUGACGCAGCCAUGCCGCGUGUAUGAUGAAGGUCUUAGGAUUGUAAAAUACUUUCACCGGUGAAGAUAAUGACUGUAGCCGGAGAAGAAGCCCCGGCUAACUUCGUGCCAGCAGCCGCGGUAAUACGAAGGGGGCUAGCGUUGCUCGGAAUUACUGGGCGUAAAGGGAGCGUAGGCGGACAUUUAAGUCAGAGGUGAAAUCCCGGAGCUUAACUUCGGAACUGCCUUUGAUACUGGGUGUCUUGAGUGUGAGAGAGGUAUGUGGAACUCCGAGUGUAGAGGUGAAAUUCGUAGAUAUUCGGAAGAACACCAGUGGCGAAGGCGACAUACUGGCUCAUUACUGACGCUGAGGCUCGAAAGCGUGGGGAGCAAA
rnacentral:rRNA from 1 species